AGAAUCAACGCUGGCGGCGUGCCUCAGACAUGCAAGUCGAACGCGAAAGUCCCCUUCGGGGGACAAGUAGAGUGGCGCACGGGUGAGUAACACGUAGGUAAUCUACCUUCGGGUGGGGAAUAACAACCGGAAACGGUUGCUAAUACCGCAUAAUGCAGCGGCACCUAAUGGUGACAGUUGUUAAAGCGGGGGAUCGCAAGAUCUCGCGCCUGAAGAGGAGCCUGGCGGCGGAUUAGCUAGUUGGUAGGGUAAUGGCCUAACCGAAGGCGACGAUCCGUA
rnacentral:rRNA from 1 species